AGUACGAGAGGACCGGGGUGGACGGACCUCUAGUGUGCGAGCUGUGCCGCCAGGCGCAUCGCUCGGUAGCUAUGUCCGGCAGGGAUAAGCGCUGAAGGCAUCUAAGCGCGAAACCCGCCUGAAGAUGAGACCUCCCGGGGCGCAAGCCCCCUGAAGGCCCCUCGUAGAUUACGAGGUUGAUAGGCCGGAGGUGGAAGCGCGGCAACGCGUUAAGCUGACCGGUACUAAUCGGCCGUGCGGCUUGACCACAUUGCACUCA
rnacentral:rRNA from 1 species